UAGUAACUGCGAGUGAAGAGGGAAAAGCUCAAAUUUAAAAUCUGGUGGUUCCUUGUGACCAUCCGAGUUGUAAUUUAGAGAAGUGUUACCCGCGCUGGACCGUGUACAAGUCUCCUCGAACGGAGCAUCAUAGAGGGUGAGAAUCCCGUAUAUGACAUGGACUCCCAGGGCUUUGUGGUGGGCUCUCAACGAGUCGAGUUGUUUGGGAAUGCAGCUCUAAAUGGGUGGUAAAUUCCAUCUAAAGCUAAAUAUAGGCGAGAGACCGAUAGCGAACAAGUACCGUGAGGGAAAGAUGAAAAGAACUUUGGAAAGAGAGUUAAACAGUACGUGAAAUUGUUGAAAGGGAAACGCUUGAAGUCAGUCGCGUCUCUCAGAGAUCAACCUGGCCUUUUCGCUUGGUGCACUCUCUGUGGGAUGGGUCAGCAUCAAUUUUGACUGGGGGAAAAAGUUGGUGGGAAUGUGGCACCCUCGUGGUGUGUUAUAACCUGCUUGCAUAUACCUCUGUUGGGAUUGAGGAACUCAGCACGCCUAACGGCCGGACUUUUAGUCACGUACGUGCUUAGGAUGCUGGCAUAAUGUCUUCAAUCGACCCGUCUUGAAACACGGACCAAGGAGUCUAACAUGCGCGCGAGUGUUUGGGUGAAAAACCCAAGU
rnacentral:rRNA from 1 species